AACGACCAACACCAAGGAACAUUGCUUAGACUUACCUUGAUGACAGAACUCGAAAUACACAUUGAAUACACAAAUAUUACUCAUAUCUUCCUGAGCUUUUACAUGAUAUCAUAGAGUUUAGAAUUUUUUAACUCCUUUAUCCUUCUGAGUUUAUUUUUUGAUAGCAAUCUUUAUGUCGCUUCCACUUGAUAACUCAUUCUUCUUUUCCAUUUACCAAAUUACCACUUUAUCAAUUAUUGACUUGUAUUUGUGACAUCAUAC
rnacentral:lncRNA from 1 species